rnacentral:rRNA from 1 species
AGGUUCGUCCGCUGAGGGUUAGUCGGGACCUAAGCCGAGGCCGAAAGGCGUAGGCGAUGGACAAUCGGUUGAUAUUCCGAUACCACUACUGAUCGUUAUUAUCGAUGGUGUGACGGAGAAGGAUAGAGUGUGCUAGCUAUUGGAUGCUAGUCUAAGCGUUUAGGGAGUUAGGAAAGGCAAAUCCGUCCUAACAAUUCUGAGGCGUGAUGGGGAAGGUUCUACGGAACCGAAGUACUUGAUUCCAUGCUUCCAAGAAAAGCAUCUAGAGAGAGAUGUAGUGCCCGUACCGCAAACCGACACAGGUAGAUGAGGAGAGAAUCCUAAGGCCGGCGGAAGAAUCACAGUUAAGGAACUAGGCAAAUUGACCCCGUAACUUAGGGAGAAGGGGUGCCUGUGAGAGCAGGCCGCAGAGAAUAGGCCCAAGCAACUGUUUAGCAAAAACACAGGUCUCUGCUAAAGCGAAAGCUGAUGUAUAGGGGCUGACGCCUGCCCGGUGCUGGAAGGUUAAGGGGAACACUUAGCGCAAGCGAAGGUGUGAACUUAAGCCCCAGUAAACGGCGGCCGUAACUAUAACGGUCCUAAGGUAGCGAAAUUCCUUGUCAGGUAAGUUCUGACCCGCACGAAUGGCGUAAUGACUUGGGCACUGUCUCAACUGUGAAUCCGGCGAAGUUGUAGUGCGAGUGAAGAUGCUCGCUACCCGCGAUUGGACGGAAAGACCCCGUAGAGCUUUACUGUAGCUUAGCAUUGAAUUUCGGUAUUGUCUGUACAGGAUAGGUGGGAGACUGGGAAAUCAGGGCGUCAGCCUUGAUGGAGUCGUCCUUGGGAUACCACCCUGACAGUACUGAGGUUCUAACUGGAUGCCAUGAAUCUGGUGACAGGACAUUGUUAGGUGGGCAGUUUGACUGGGGCGGUCGCCUCCUAAAAAGUAACGGAGGCGCCCAAAGGUUCCCUCAGAACGGUCGGAAAUCGUUCGAAGAGUGCAAAGGCAGAAGGGAGCCUGACUGCGACACCCACAAGUGGAGCAGGGACGAAAGUCGGGCUUAGUGAUCCGGUGGUACCUCGUGGGAGGGCCAUCGCUCAACGGAUAAAAGCUACCUCGGGGAUAACAGGCUGAUCUCCCCCAAGAGUCCACAUCGACGGGGAGGUUUGGCACCUCGAUGUCGGCUCGUCGCAUCCUGGGGCUGAAGUAGGUCCCAAGGGUUGGGCUGUUCGCCCAUUAAAGCGGCACGCGAGCUGGGUUCAGA